rnacentral:rRNA from 1 species
GACGAACCGUCCUAACGUUGUUCGGAACCACUGGGCUUAAAGGGCGCGUAGGCGGCUUGCCAAGUCAGGGGUGAAAUCCUGCAGCUUAACUGUAGAAGGGCCUUUGAUACUGGCGAGCUCGAGGGAGGUAGGGGUAUGUGGAACUUCCGGUGGAGCGGUGAAAUGCGUUGAUAUCGGAAGGAACGCCGGUGGCGAAAGCGACGUACUGGACCUCUUCUGACGCUGAGGCGCGAAAGCUAGGGGAGCAAACGGG